GUUAUUCAAAGUAAAUAGUUUACCUGCCUGCCUCCUCAUGAUUGCUCACCUGCAUUUGGAUACUCACCUUCCAACCCACGCUGCUCAUGACACAGCCUCAACCCUUAUCGUUCAGACUACAGAAUAGAGCUGGUUUAUUUGGUUUUUGGAGGUUGGAGAAAAUCUGAAGGAGUGGUGCAUGACUUUCCCAUCUAUUACAAAGAAAAUGCAGCUUUAAAAAGGUUUUGCAGAAGCAGCAUUGGGAACACUGAACAAUGGAAGAGGAAGCAACUUCUGUAAGCUGAUUUUUAAUUAAACAUGUAUUUAUGCAUUUUCAUUUGGAAUGAUGGAUAUUCCAUUACAGUGCCCCAGAAGG